rnacentral:lncRNA from 1 species
GUGUUCAAUUUCGAUAUUUACUUAAGCAAUUUGAACAUUUGUGAUCUCCAUAUUCCAAUUUGAAGGGGAGUAUCAUGGGCAGGAUGAGUUAUAUAUUUCUAGUCCAAGUCCAUAUGUUUUACAUGUCUUUAACCUAGUUCUUCUGUACUAUAUACAUAUUUAUCUCAUACGAUCAAUGAAGCCAAGUCAAUUCCACUAUCUACUCUGACAAAUUAUAAUUCCACUAGCAACGAUAUAUAAAAGACAAUUCAACACUUUUGAGUGCUACAUUAGACUUCUUUCUUUGUUUGACUGCUAAAGAUCAUAUCUUUCGUUUAUCACGUUUUGCUUUGCUUUGAAAACCUUAACUUGUUAUGUUUAGUGUGUGUCAAUGUGUCUCCAAUUAGCUUAACACAAGACUUGCGUGGCGCUCCUCACUUUAUACACACUACUGACCAUCCAAUCCAAAUCAGAGUCUCAAGGAGAGUGCACCCUUUGAGCAUUGGCCAGCCUUGAUUCGGGCAUGGCAGAAAGGUACGUCCUCUCUCGAAUCAGCAGUUCACUUUCAGCCGAUCAUUGAACUAUCCUCCCCUCUAGGAUCUUAUGAUGAUGCCCUUUAUCUAACCAUGUUCAUUAUUGGCACAUUACCAGAUCUUUUUAGUUUAAGUUUUACUCUUUUAUAUAUGUUCUCCACAAACCUUAUAAACUAUUUUUGCUACAUUUUCUUGAUGAAAAGUAAUUUAAAUAGUUUCCUACAAGAAUAAAUUAAAAUUCUAAUAGAUUAUUUAUAGAUAAAUAAUUUAAAUAGUUUCCUAAACAAAUAAACAAAAAUUCUAAAAUAUUUAUAUAUCGAUAAAUACAUAUUCCAAAAUAUUUACCAAAACAAAAAAAAAAAUACAUAUUCCAAAAUAUAGUCAACACUUUUUAUGGUAUAUGAGGAUGUGCUUAAUUUUUUUCUCCAAAUAAUUAACACAAAAAAAUGAAAAACAUUAAAUGUUUUACUCUUUUUGACAUAAUUUGAGAUAUUCAUUUUGACUUCAAAAUUUGAACUUAUAUAUAUACUAUUAGCCAUACUUAAAAUAUGGCUAAUCCUCUCAACUUGAUAGAAUAUCUAUACUAACAUAGGGAUAUCGCUAUUUAAUAGAGAUGAUCAUAUAACCUUUUUCUUCUUCAAAUUCCGAUCAGAGAGAGAGAGAGAUCAAGAAAUGGCUAAUCUAGGUCUAAUGAUCACUCUAAUCACAGUUUUGAUUUGUUUAUCCUCAAGCUUCACCAAAUCAUCCAAAGGCAUUAAAAUUGAUUUACCUAAAUCCCUUAACCUCACCCUCUUAACCGAUCCUUCCACCAUCUCCGCCGCUUCUCAAGACUUCGGAAACAUCACCACCGUCACCCCCG